CGGGCAGGUGGCUCGUUGAGUCGUUUGUGAAAAUCCGGGGCUCAACCCCGCGAAAUGCAGACGAUACUGGCGAGCUAGAGAUCGGUAGAGGCUAGCGGAAUUCCUGGUGUAGCGGUGGAAUGCGUAGAUAUCAGGAAGAACACCCGUGGCGAAGGCGGCUAGCUGGGCCGAGUCUGACACUCAUCCGCGAAAGCGUGGGGAGCAAACAGGAUUAGAUACCCUGGUAGUC
rnacentral:rRNA from 1 species